GGAAAUGCGAUGACGAGAAGAGUAAGGGAAUAACGUUCUCAAACAGAGAGCUCCGGAAGCUGAGAAGGAGCGGAGAACCAUUCCACGAAACAAGCCUCUGAGCAGCAUGACGGAUCCUUACGGGUGAUGGCAUGACGGGAGCUCCCGUUACAGAGCUAGAGUAUAACCAUUGCAUGCAAUGCCGUACUUGAAGAGGUUAAUAUGGCGACAUAUUAACAAACUGGGGUGGCACCGCGGAACUUCGUCCCCAAG
rnacentral:ncRNA from 1 species